rnacentral:tRNA from 1 species
GGGCGCAUAGCUCAGCUGGGAGAGCACUACCUCGACAAGGUAGGGGUCAGCGGUUCGAGCCCGUUUGCGCCCA